ACAACCUCUCAAAACCAAGAGCAGAAGCAACAAUUACAUGCAGGAAUUUAUGGACAACAUUCAAUGGAUGAACAAGAUGAGCCCCAUCAGCAACUUAUAAAGGUGGAACAAAAGAGGCAACAACUAGAAGAGAGCCUAUGCAACAUGAUGAUAAGUUAGAACAAGAAACCAAAAAGUUAGAAUUGUCGUCUCAAAAGAUUCAACAACAAAACUUGCUAUCAAAUUUGAAUCAAA
rnacentral:misc_RNA from 1 species